rnacentral:rRNA from 1 species
ACGAAGGGGGCUAGCGUUGUUCGGAAUUACUGGGCGUAAAGCGCACGUAGGCGGGUUAUUAAGUCAGGGGUGAAAUCCCGGAGCUCAACUCCGGAACUGCCUUUGAUACUGGUAAUCUAGAGAUCAGAAGAGGUUAGUGGAAUUCCCAGUGUAGAGGUGAAAUUCGUAGAUAUUGGGAAGAACACCAGUGGCGAAGGCGGCUAACUGGUCCGAUACUGACGCUGAGGUGCGAAAGCGUGGGGAGCAAACAGGA